rnacentral:rRNA from 1 species
UACGUAGGGUGCAAGCGUUAAUCGGAAUUACUGGGCGUAAAGCGUGCGCAGGCGGUUUUGUAAGACAGGCGUGAAAUCCCCGGGCUCAACCUGGGAAUUGCGCUUGUGACUGCAAGGCUGGAGUGCGGCAGAGGGGGGUGGAAUUCCGCGUGUAGCAGUGAAAUGCGUAGAUAUGCGGAGGAACACCAAUGGCGAAGGCAAUCCCCUGGGCCUGUACUGACGCUCAUGCACGAAAGCGUGGGGAGCAAACAGG